CAGGCUUAACACAUGCAAGUCGAGGGGCAGCAUGGUCUUAGCUUGCUAAGGCCGAUGGCGACCGGCGCACGGGUGAGUAACGCGUAUCCAACCUGCCUUACACUCUUGGACAGCCUUCUGAAAGGGAGGUUAAUACAAGAUGUUAUCAUGAGUAAGCAUUUUCGCAUGAUUAAAGGUUUACCGGUGUAAGAUGGGGAUGCGUUCCAUUAGAUAGUAGGCGGGGUAACGGCCCACCUAGUCUUCGAUGGAUGGGGGUUCUGAGAGGAAGGUCCCCCACAUUGGAACUGAGACACGGUCCAAACUCCUACGGGAGGCAGCAGUGAGGAAUAUUGGUCAAUGGACGAGAGUCUGAACCAGCCAAGUAGCGUGAAGGAUGAAGGUUCUAUGGAUUGUAAACUUCUUUUAUACGGGAAUAAACGGAUCCACGUGUGGAUUUUUGCAUGUACCGUAUGAAUAAGGAUCGGCUAACUCCGUGCCAGCAGCCGCGGUAAUACGGAGGAUCCGAGCGUUAUCCGGAUUUAUUGGGUUUAAAGGGAGCGUAGAUGGGUUGUUAAGUCAGUUGUGAAAGUUUGCGGCUCAACCGUAAAAUUGCAAUUGAUACUGGCAGUCUUGAGUACAGUUGAGGUAGGCGGAAUUCGUGGUGUAGCGGUGAAAUGCUUAGAUAUCACGAGGAACUCCGAUUGCGAAGGCAGCUUACUUAACCCUGUAACUGACAUUGAUGCUCGAAAGUGUGGGUAUCAAACAGGAUUAGAUACCCUGGUAGUCCACACGGUAAACGAUGAAUACUCGCUGUAGGCGAUAUACAGUCUGCGGCCAAGCGAAAGCAUUAAGUAUUCCACCUGGGGAGUACGCCGGCAACGGUGAAACUCAAAGGAAUUGACGGGGGCCCGCACAAGCGGAGGAACAUGUGGUUUAAUUCGAUGAUACGCGAGGAACCUUACCCGGGCUUAAAUUGCAACCGAAUAUGGCGGAAACGCUAUAGCUAGCAAUAGCGGUUGUGAAGGUGCUGCAUGGUUGUCGUCAGCUCGUGCCGUGAGGUGUCGGCUUAAGUGCCAUAACGAGCGCAACCCUUGCCGAUAGUUACUAACAGGUCAUGCUGAGGACUCUGUCGGGACUGCCAUCGUAAGAUGUGAGGGAGGUGGGGAUGACGUCAAAUCAGCACGGCCCUUACGUCCGGGGCUACACACGUGUUACAAUGGGGGGUACAGAGGGCUGCUACCACGCAAGUGGAUGCCAAUCCCAAAAACCUCUCUCAGUUCGGAUUGAAGUCUGCAACCCGACUUCAUGAAGCUGGAUUCGCUAGUAAUCGCGCAUCAGCCACGGCGCGGUGAAUACGUUCCCGGGCCUUGUACACACCGCCCGUCAAGCCAUGGGAGCCGGGGGUACCUGAAGUGCGUAACCGCAAGGAGCGCCCUAGGGUAAAACUGGUGACUGGGGCUAAGUCAUAACA
rnacentral:rRNA from 1 species